UGGAAGAGCGGCGGCCCGCCCGGGGACUGCGGGUGCGACGGCUCGGGCGACGGGGCCCGGCAGAGGCGCAGGUUUCUAGCAGCAAGCUAGCCCUAGGUCCUGGCCUCCUGGGAGGGCUACAACGGAAGAAGGAGGAUGUCAUCAGUGGGCAGUGGCCUCCACCCCUCUGUGCUGUUCUGGUCCCACCCUAGCCAUGGUCACACAGCCUGCAUAUUCUACAAAGCCCUCCUUGCUGGACUCCUGCUUUGGCCCCCAUCGCCUUGUUCUGGAGACAUCCCAAUGGCACCUGAGUGGCUCAGUCUGUUAAACACCUGCCUUUGGCUCAGGUCACGAUCCCAGGGUCCUGGGAUGGAGCCCCACAUCUGUCUCCCUGCUCAGCAGGGAGUGUGCUUCUCCCUCUCCCUCUGCUGCUCCUCUUGUUUGUUCUCUCUCACUCGCUCACUCUCUCUCAAAUAAAUAAAAUCUUUAAAAAAAUA